AUUGAACGCUGGCGGAAUGCUUUACACAUGCAAGUCGAACGGCAGCACGGGGGCGACCCUGGUGGCGAGUGGCGAACGGGUGAGUAAUACAUCGGAACGUGCCCAGUCGUGGGGGAUAACGUAGCGAAAGUUACGCUAAUACCGCAUACGAUCUACGGACGAAAGCGGGGGACCGUAAGGCCUCGCGCGAUUGGAGCGGCCGAUGUCAGAUUAGGUAGUUGGUGAGGUAAAGGCUCACCAAGCCGACGAUCUGUAGCUGGUCUGAGAGGACGACCGGACACACUGGGACUGGGACACGGCCCAGACUCCAACGGGAGGCAUCAGUGGGGAAUUUUGGACAAUGGGCGCAAGCCUGAUCCAUCCAUUCCGCGUGCAGGACGAAGGCCUUCGGGUUGUAAACUGCUUUUGUACGGAACGAAAAGGCUCUGGUUAAUACCUGGGGCUCAUGACGGUACCGUAAUAAUAAGCACCGGCUAACUACGUGCCAGCCGCCGCGGUAA
rnacentral:rRNA from 1 species